rnacentral:tRNA from 1 species
GGGCAGUUACCAGAGUGGCCAAAUGGGGUUGACUGUAACUCAGCUGUCUUUCGACUUCGGUGGUUCGAAUCCAUCACUGCCCACAA